AUCGCUCAUAGCGUAUAUUAAGUUGUUGCGGUUAAAAGCUCGUAGUUGGAUUUCAGUUCUGGACUGACGGUUCACCGCCCGGUGCACACUGUCACGCUCCGAACAGCCACAACAGCCCGCUGGCUCGCACGGGGUGCUCUUCAUCGAGUGUCCCGCGUGGCCGGCAGAGUUUACUUUGAAAAAAUUAGAGUGCUCAAAGCAGGCUACACUGACGGCCUGAAUGCCUAUGCAUGGAAUAAUGGAAUAGGACCUCGGUUCUAUUUUGUCGGUUUUCUGAACCCGAGGUAAUGACUAAUAGGAACAGGCGGGGGCAUUCGUAUUGCGACGCUAGAGGUGAAAUUCUUGGACCGUCGCAAGACGAACUACUGCGAAAGCAUUUGCCAAGGAUGUUUUCAUUAAUCAAGAACGAAAGUUAGAGGUUCGAAGACGAUCAAGAUACCGCCA
rnacentral:rRNA from 1 species